rnacentral:rRNA from 1 species
GGGAUCGAAAGACCUUAUGCUUUUGGAGCGGCCGAUGUCUGAUUAGCUAGUUGGUAGGGUAAUGGCUUACCAAGGCGACGAUCAGUAGUUGGUCUGAGAGGACGGCCAGCCACACUGGGACUGAGACACGGCCCAGACUCCUACGGGAGGCAGCAGUGGGGAAUUUUGGACAAUGGGCGCAAGCCUGAUCCAGCAAUGCCGCGUGAGUGAAGAAGGCCUUCGGGUUGUAAAGCUCUUUCAGUUGAGAAGAAAAAGUCGUGACUAAUAAUCAUGAUUCAUGACGGUAUCAACAGAAGAAGCACCGGCUAACUACGUGCCAGCAGCCGCGGUAAUACGUAGGGUGCAAGCGUUAAUCGGAAUUACUGGGCGUAAAGGGUGCGCAGGCGGUUCUGUAAGUCAGAUGUGAAAUCCCCGGGCUUAACCUGGGAACUGCGUUUGAA